rnacentral:tRNA from 1 species
GGUGGGGUAGAGCAGAGGUCAGCUCAUCAGACUCAUGAUCUGAAGGUCGUAGGUUCGAAUCCUUACUCCCACUA